rnacentral:piRNA from 1 species
UCAUCUGAGACAAGUCCCGUCUGCCUA